UGUGGGGUCUCUAGGAGAGAGAGCAGGUGGGGCUGAGGUGUGGGGUCUCUAGGAGAGAGAGCAGGUGGGGCUGAGGUGUGGGGUCUCUAGGAGAGCCAGCAAGUGGGGCUGAGGUGCAGCGCUUCCCUGCUGUGUGACUGCGCCUGCACUGCCCUCUUGCGUCGGCUGCUCGCUCCCCUCCCGAUCGCCCCUGGAGGAAGGGACACCUCUGUCUGAAGGUCUGUCAACAGCCCUGUAAAUUCUCUUCAGAAGGCAUCUGUCCUUUACCCGUUCUACGGGAAAACUCCUGGGAAGCCCGCAGAGAGCGGGAGGAAAGGGCUGGGACAGGCCCGCGGACUCCACAUUGCCCAUCUGCCAGGCACCCGUUCCUUCGCGCCUUCAUCCAGGACUGACAGGGGAGCCCGGUGGGGACAGCGGAGGCCGAGGGGAACCGGGGCCGGGCUGAGGGACCGCGCCGGCCGUGGGCAGUAAGGCUAGGGUCUCGGUGGGCAGCGGGGGUCUCGAUGGGCAGCGGGGGUCUCGGU